AACUAACGCUGGCGGCGUGCCUAACACAUGCAAGUCGUACGAGAAAGUUGGCUUCGGCCGAUGAGUACAGUGGCGCACGGGUGAGUAACGCGUGGAUAAUCUGCCCUUAAGUGUGGAAUAACGUACCGAAAGGUGCGCUAAUACCGCAUAAUGCCUGGCAACAUAAGUUGUCCGGCCAAAGAAGGCCUCUGCUUGCAAGCUUUCGCUAAAGGAUGAGUCCGCGUACCAUUAGCUAGUUGGUGGGGUAACGGCCUACCAAGGCGACGAUGGUUAGCUGGUCUGAGAGGAUGAUCAGCCACACUGGAACUGAGACACGGUCCAGACUCCUACGGGAGGCAGCAGUGAGGAAUAUUGCGCAAUGGGGGCAACCCUGACGCAGCAACGCCGCGUGAGUGGGGAAGGUUUUCGGACUGUAAAGCUCUGUCGAGCGGGAAGAAGUGUACCAUGGCUAAUAUCCAUGAUAUUUGACGGUACCGCUAGAGG
rnacentral:rRNA from 1 species